GUCCCCGUGCCUGUGAUGACGACCGGUCCAGAGAGCCACUCGGACAGUUCCUGACAAGGGCUCGAAUCGAGCUCCUCAAGCGGGUGCCGCGGGUUCGAAUCCUGCCGGGGCACA
rnacentral:tRNA from 1 species